rnacentral:lncRNA from 1 species
AGGCCCCCCCCACGGUCUCUGUCNCCACGAUCUCUGUCUGAUGCCCCCUCCCCCAUCUGCAGCCCAAGUUCCGGAGCCGGUCCGACGAGACGCCCCCCGAGGAGAUGCGGCCCCAGCCCGGGGGGCAGCUCCUACAGCGCCCCGGCACCCCGGUCUCCCUGGUGCGGUGCUCCAGCGGGCCCGUGGGGAGCCGGACCCCACACCCCACCCAGCACACCGAGCCCCGCCGCUCCCACCUCUCGGCCAGCUCAGAUCCCACUCUGUGGCCUGGACCCCGGAGCGAGGAGCCCCCUGUCCUGCCCCCCAAGACAGAGAAGAAACGAAGACAGGAUGGAUCCCUCUUCAAGAAGGUCUUUAACGGCUGCCCCCUGCGCAUCACGGCCACGGCCACCUGGACGCACCCCAGCACCCAAGGUAGGGGGGGAUGGGGGUGCAGGGGG